rnacentral:rRNA from 1 species
AUUGAACGCUGGCGGCAGGCCUAACACAUGCAAGUCGAACGAGUGGCGGACGGGUGAGUAAUGUCUGGGAAACUGCCUGAUGGAGGGGGAUAACUACUGGAAACGGUAGCUAAUACCGCAUACCAUCAGAUGUGCCCAGGUGGGAUUAGCUGUUGGGGGGGGUAAAGGCUAACCAAGGCGACGAUCCCUAGCUGGUCUGAGAGGAUAACCAGCCACACUGGAACUGAGACACGGUCCAGACUCCUACGGGAGGCAGCAGUGGGGAAUAUUGCACAAUGGGCGAAAGCCUGAUGCAGCCAUGCCGCGGGUAUGAAGAAGGCCUUCGGGUUGUAAAGUACUUUCAGCUGGGAGGCGUUACCCGCAGAAGAAGCACCGGCUAACUCCGUGCCAGCAGCCGCGGUAAUUC